rnacentral:lncRNA from 1 species
AUAUAUACUCCGAUUUCUGAACCAUUGUCGUGCAAUCAUCUUCCUAAGCUGAAUUUCCUAUUUCAUAUAGUCUGUUUCUAAGCUCAAAGCACACUUACAUGAGAAGUCAUUUGUUAUUGAGAAACAGGAUAUGAGUGGCUCAUAAUAGUAUGAAGAAAAUUGCACCUGCACUUGCAGCCAAACAUGAUGUUGCAGUGGCUGGAACAAAUAUUGGGGAGCCUGAGAGGAAGUGAUUUCUACUAUCUCUAAUUCUUAUAUUGAUAUGGAUCAGAGCAAGCACAUUUUUACUAUUUAAAAUAUGGUAUGGUCAUUGUUAUAUUCCAAUAUGCUAUGUUUGGAGAUGCUAUGAGAAAGGGAAAGGGAAUCUCUGGCGGUCAAAAAGAAAAGAUGGUAACUUCUGCAAUUUAUGCUUAUUCGACCUGGUCAAUACAUCAGCCCUAUUUGGAUGCAAGUAUGGUUGUUUGCAGGGGAGAUGAUUCUUGGUCCAACAAAAGUGUAGUGAUGCUAAUUCUUAGUGGCGCUAUUAAU